UACGGAGGGUGCAAGCGUUAUCCGGAUUCACUGGGUUUAAAGGGUGCGUAGGAGGGCAGGUAAGUCAGUGGUGAAAUCUUCGAGCUUAACUCGGAAACUGCCGUUGAUACUAUCUGUCUUGAAUACCGUGGAGAUGAGCGGAAUAUGUCAUGUAGCGGUGAAAUGCAUAGAUAUGACUUAGAACACCAAUUGCGAAGGCAGCUUGCUAAACAAAUAUUGACGCUGAGGCACGAAAGCGUGGGGGAUCAAACAGG
rnacentral:rRNA from 1 species